CUGAAUAUGGGGGGACCAUCCUCCAAGGCUAAAUACUCCUGACUGACCGAUAGUGAACCAGUACCGUGAGGGAAAGGCGAAAAGAACCCCGGCGAGGGGAGUGAAAAAGAACCUGAAACCGUGUACGUACAAGCAGUGGGAGCCUCUUUAUGGGGUGACUGCGUACCUUUUGUAUAAUGGGUCAGCGACUUAUAUUCUGUAGCAAGGUUAACCGAAUAGGGGAGCCGAAGGGAAACCGAGUCUUAACUGGGCGUUAAGUUGCAGGGUAUAGACCCGAAACCCGGUGAUCUAGCCAUGGGCAGGUUGAAGGUUGGGUAACACUAACUGGAGGACCGAACCGACUAAUGUUGAAAAAUUAGCGGAUGACUUGUGGCUGGGGGUGAAAGGCCAAUCAAACCGGGAGAUAGCUGGUUCUCCCCGAAAGCUAUUUAGGUAGCGCCUCGUGAAUUCAUCUCCGGGGGUAGAGCACUGUUUCGGCAAGGGGGUCAUCCCGACUUACCAACCCGAUGCAAACUGCGAAUACCGGAGAAUGUUAUCACGGGAGACACACGGCGGGUGCUAACGUCCGUCGUGAAGAGGGAAACAACCCAGACCGCCAGCUAAGGUCCCAAAGUCAUGGUUAAGUGGGAAACGAUGUGGGAAGGCCCAGACAGCCAGGAUGUUGGCUUAGAAGCAGCCAUCAUUUAAAGAAAGCGUAAUAGCUCACUGGUCGAGUCGGCCUGCGCGGAAGAUGUAACGGGGCUAAACCAUGCACCGAAGCUGCGGCAGCGACGCUUAUGCGUUGUUGGGUAGGGGAGCGUUCUGUAAGCCUGUGAAGGUGUGCUGUGAGGCAUGCUGGAGGUAUCAGAAGUGCGAAUGCUGACAUAAGUAACGAUAAAGCGGGUGAAAAGCCCGCUCGCCGGAAGACCAAGGGUUCCUGUCCAACGUUAAUCGGGGCAGGGUGAGUCGACCCCUAAGGCGAGGCCGAAAGGCGUAGUCGAUGGGAAACAGGUUAAUAUUCCUGUACUUGGUGUUACUGCGAAGGGGGGACGGAGAAGGCUAUGUUGGCCGGGCGACGGUUGUCCCGGUUUAAGCGUGUAGGCUGGUUUUCCAGGCAAAUCCGGAAAAUCAAGGCUGAGGCGUGAUGACGAGGCACUACGGUGCUGAAGCAACAAAUGCCCUGCUUCCAGGAAAAGCCUCUAAGCAUCAGGUAACAUCAAAUCGUACCCCAAACCGACACAGGUGGUCAGGUAGAGAAUACCAAGGCGCUUGAGAGAACUCGGGUGAAGGAACUAGGCAAAAUGGUGCCGUAACUUCGGGAGAAGGCACGCUGAUAUGUAGGUGAGGUCCCUCGCGGAUGGAGCUGAAAUCAGUCGAAGAUACCAGCUGGCUGCAACUGUUUAUUAAAAACACAGCACUGUGCAAACACGAAAGUGGACGUAUACGGUGUGACGCCUGCCCGGUGCCGGAAGGUUAAUUGAUGGGGUUAGCGGUAACGCGAAGCUCUUGAUCGAAGCCCCGGUAAACGGCGGCCGUAACUAUAACGGUCCUAAGGUAGCGAAAUUCCUUGUCGGGUAAGUUCCGACCUGCACGAAUGGCGUAAUGAUGGCCAGGCUGUCUCCACCCGAGACUCAGUGAAAUUGAACUCGCUGUGAAGAUGCAGUGUACCCGCGGCAAGACGGAAAGACCCCGUGAACCUUUACUAUAGCUUGACACUGAACAUUGAGCCUUGAUGUGUAGGAUAGGUGGGAGGCUUUGAAGUGUGGACGCCAGUCUGCAUGGAGCCGACCUUGAAAUACCACCCUUUAAUGUUUGAUGUUCUAACGUUGACCCGUAAUCCGGGUUGCGGACAGUGUCUGGUGGGUAGUUUGACUGGGGCGGUCUCCUCCUAAAGAGUAACGGAGGAGCACGAAGGUUGGCUAAUCCUGGUCGGACAUCAGGAGGUUAGUGCAAUGGCAUAAGCCAGCUUGACUGCGAGCGUGACGGCGCGAGCAGGUGCGAAAGCAGGUCAUAGUGAUCCGGUGGUUCUGAAUGGAAGGGCCAUCGCUCAACGGAUAAAAGGUACUCCGGGGAUAACAGGCUGAUACCGCCCAAGAGUUCAUAUCGACGGCGGUGUUUGGCACCUCGAUGUCGGCUCAUCACAUCCUGGGGCUGAAGUAGGUCCCAAGGGUAUGGCUGUUCGCCAUUUAAAGUGGUACGCGAGCUGGGUUUAGAACGUCGUGAGACAGUUCGGUCCCUAUCUGCCGUGGGCGCUGGAGAACUGAGGGGGGCUGCUCCUAGUACGAGAGGACCGGAGUGGACGCAUCACUGGUGUUCGGGUUGUCAUGCCAAUGGCACUGCCCGGUAGCUAAAUGCGGAAGAGAUAAGUGCUGAAAGCAUCUAAGCACGAAACUUGCC
rnacentral:rRNA from 1 species